UGGAGCAGAGUUGGCUUGCUUCAGUGCCCGCUGGGUAGCCAGGAGACAAGGUUUCAACACGAGGAUCUUGUUGGACUACCCCUCAGAGGGCCCAAAGCAACCUGGGGCAGCUGUGUGACUCUCCCCUGUCCGGUGGCCCUGCCCUGCUGAGCGCAGGUGCCUCCCAAGCCCUGACUUCCACACAGUGCUGGUGUUUUCUGUUCCAGGGACGAUGACUCAGCAGCUUCUUUCCUACCAGGAAGUCUUUUCCCUUUGUUUCUGGUUUUCUGAUGAACUUCAAAGCCGCCUUAGGGUAAUUACAAGAAAGAGAAUUGAAAGCUGGUCAAAGUUCAAGCAAAGGCGAUUGAAGUGAUUCAAAGUGAAAAAUCCUCUGAGUCAGAGAUUGGCAGGACGUUCCUUGGUGUUCUGUGUGCGACACACAGCUUCAACCUCGCCUGGCCCCCAAGGCCCAAUCUGACCUUGCUCCGCCACUUUCAGCUGUUACGACUCUCCACAACCUGCCCUAGGGCCUCUGCCUACUUUGCCAGAUUCACUCUACAAGAAACACUAAGUUUGACACCUAGCGGAGCAGGCAUCCAGCAAAUUUCAGAGCACAUUGUGUGAAAAGCAAUAGAAAAAUGAUUUGUAUGUAGUGACUGCACCUUGAGAAAACGAGCAAAAUUCAAGAACUCUCUGUAGUUAGUAGUGAGAACCCUGAAACAAGAACCAAGUAUUACAGAGGAGGCUGCACAGGGCAAGGCCCGUGGCACACACCAGGGAAUUUCUGUUUCUUGGAAGAAAUGGCAUUGAAACAAAAGUAAUGCCCUCAGUCACCCUGGGAGGGGCAGUUAGAGAGCACAGCACACAGAAGAAACUCCUGUCUAGUGCUGGUUUCUACCUAAUGUCAUCUUGGUAUGUUUUGUGUAACACAGCAGUCUGUGUCUCUCUCACUGCAGCUGCUUUCUGAUGGUCUCAACAAAGCCCUUUACUCUCCUUACAAAGCCUCCACCAUAAAGAAAAUACUUGCAGGGUGCUCUCCACGGCACCUGGACUGCAGGAGACACUGCUGUGGUUAAAACUGCCUGGCAGAAUGAAAUGAAUCAGCUCAAUGGAUCUUCAGUGAUCAGCGAAUCGUCUUAACCAGGCUUACUUGUGCCGGCUGAUGUUUCAUAUUCUAUUAUUCUCAAAACGCAGUCACGUAAUUCUGUCUGAAAGCACAGGGAUCUAACGUUCUGGAUAACCUAAGAAAGUAAGGGUGGCAGGUGAGCAAUUUCCACCUGGAUUUUCAAAAUAUUGAAGUAAUGAAUAGAUUUCUGACAUUACUUUUGAGGAUCUUAAAUAUCCUGGAAACUCAGGUGUGAAGUGUCUCUUUUAGCAGGUGUAUUAUUCUGAAUGAAUGGACUCCCCGAAGCGGCCCCCAGCCCCCUCCGCAGUGGCCUCACGAGCACUUCACCCCGAGGUUGGUGCCUUACCAGGUUUGCGGUGGGUUCCUGCCAUUGCUUUGUGCCCCUCCCCCACUGUCUUUCCCCCACUUCUAUCCACAGGAGCUGUAACGUGCAUGUAACUUAGAGGCUUGCACAGGGCAAGGCUGAUGGUUGAGAGGCUUUGCCGUUCGUGCCAAACCCUUGCAAGAGGGGUGACUCACACAGAGCUUAGCAAAUACCAGCAUAUCAGAGUCUGAUCCGAAAGCAGCACUGGGAUUUUUGUUUUAAGACAGCUUUUCUCUAAAUUUCUUUAGCAAAGGAAUUUGUUUCUUCCUGAGUAUUAACUAUCAGACACAUCAACUCUCAGACCUGCCACUGCUUUCUUCACAGGUCAUAAAAUAGAGUCAAAUAGACCUGAGGUCCCACAUAGGUCAACAUCCUCAAUUUAAAAAUGGAGAAAUUAAGCCCAGUAAAAGUUAACUAACCUGUGCAAAGCCACCCAGUUGGUUAGAACGGGCAGUAUAACUAGGGGGGCCAUACAUAUCAUCCUCCAAAGUAAGACAUCUUUGAGAGUGAAGGCCAGUGUUAGUAAUCAUGCCACGGCCAGGCGUGGUGGCUCAUGGGUGAAAUUCCAGCUGGGAGGCCGAGAUGGGCUAAUCACCUGAGGAGUUUCAGACCAGCCUGGCCAAAGUGGUGGAACCUAUUUUGAAAAUACAAAAAUACAGGAGCAUGGUGGCGAGCGCCUGUCAUCCCAGCUACUCGGGAGUCUGAGGCACAAGAAUCGCUUGAACCCAGGAGGCGGAGAUUGCAGUGAGCCAAGAUUGUGCCACUGCACUCCAGCCUGGGUGACAGAGUGAGACUUUGUUUCAAAAAAAAAAAAAAAAAAUCACACCCGGAUAACAGACGUAAGUUGGACUGUCCAGGCAAACAAGGAUAUGUGAACCUCCUGACCCUAAUCAGACCUUCUGCAUCUUACAGUCAGUCUACGUGAACACCAGUUAGUAGAAAUAGCUGCAAAUGCUUUUGUACAAUGAUGAGUAUUGAAAAUUAAAAUGGCUUCUGAUGGAAAAAAUAAAUGUUUUUAUAGUUUGCAGCUGACAAAAUAUUUUACUGUUUAUGCAAUUUACUGUAAUAAGUCUAGAAUCCAUUCUUCCUUUGCAAACUAAUGUUUUGCAUUAACGUAACUAGAACAAAACAAGGCAAUUAAAUAAAGAUGUCAGUUUUCAAAUCCCUCAGUUUAAAUUUAAAAAGGCAAAUAAUUCAUCCAUCAAGAAUUGGAAUUGAAUAAUUUUGAAAGAAACUUUUAAUUUAGCUUUCAAAUUAGAUUCACGGACUUGCCAUUAUUUGUAUGUGAAAAUAGAUGUCAAGUUCACUAAUAAGAAUUAUAAACACUAUAAUUAAAUUUUUCAUUAUGGAGUGAAACUAAAACAUGAAACCAUGUUGUUAUAAUCAAAAUCUGGGUAAUGCGUUUUUAAUGCAUUUCAUUUAAAGAAGUAGCUGAAAAGCAGAGAUGUUAAUAAUUUACCAAGAAAAUAAAAAUAAAAAUCAGUUGAAAAGCUUCUCUGGGUUACCUAAUGUCAGAUACUCUGCCAGUUUUUGGGAAUUCUAAUAUGGAAGAGUAAAGUUUCUGGUUUUGAGGAACUUAUAUAAAAUGUGGUUGGAAAAAAUAUUGCAUAAAGCUUGAAAAAAAUUUACACCUGAGAGAACCACGCAGGCUGUCAGUUUCUAGGGAGUGGGGCUGCUGGACAACUUUUAGAUGGAAGGAAGAGCACAGGAAGUGGAGAGAGAGGGAAACUGAGUUGCAGGAGUGCGUGGGUGGGAGUGGGGUCCCGGAAGAGCAUGGGGUUAGGUCGACAGGGGAAUGCAUCACCACAAACACAGUCUUGAAACUUCAACGUGAAAGUGCUUAGGCUAAGCAAGGAAAUGGUUUGGGCUCCACCAGGCCCAGGGCAUUUCUGCCCUUAUUACUUUCUGCAUACAUAGGUAUCAUGGACAUAUUUUUUUUUUUUUACA